GGGGGGUGUAGCUCAGUGGUAGAGCGUG
rnacentral:piRNA from 2 species